rnacentral:lncRNA from 1 species
AUCAAAUGUCAAAGACGCAAUUCGCUUCAAUGGAAUGACACGCCAAUAUCCCAAUGGAAACAGAUCCAAUCGAUCCCGGAGACUUUGUUGCACGUUUUCAGCAUUCAUUUGGGGAAAAGAACAGCUUAGGAAGCCUAUUGUCUUCUUGGGCUUUCGAGCCUCAAUUAGCGUUGCCGAACUCGCAGCUCUUAAGUUAUAAAAGUUAGCAGCAUUUGACACAAAAAUACUUUUUAUGAC